CCGCCCAUAGCUCAGCUGGUAGAGCACUCGCCUCUUAAGCGAUUGGUCCUUGGUUCGAGUCCAAGUGGGCGGA
rnacentral:tRNA from 1 species